CGGGAAGAGCUCAAAUUUAAAAUCUGGCGCUUUCAGCGUCCGAGUUGUAAUCUCGAGAAGUGUUUUCUGUACUGCCCGCUUGUAAGUCUGUUGGAAUACAGCGUCACAGUGGUGAGAACCCAGUACGCAAUGCGGCGCCAGUGCUUUGUGAUACACUUUCGAA
rnacentral:rRNA from 1 species